rnacentral:rRNA from 1 species
UGGGGAAUAUUGGACAAUGGGGGGAACCCUGAUCCAGCAAUGCCGCGUGUGUGAAGAAGGCCUGAGGGUUGUAAAGCACUUUCAGAGGGGAGGAGGACUAUUAGGUUAAGAGCUAGAUAGUUGGACGUUACCCUCAGAAGCAGCACCGGCUAACUACGUGCCAGCAGCCGCGGUAAUACGUAGGGUGCAGGCGUUAAUCGGAAUUACUGGGCGUAAAGCGUGCGCAGGCGGUUUGUUAAGACAGGUGUGAAAUCCCCGGGCUUAACCUGGGAAUUGCGCUUGUAACUGGCAGGCUAGAGUGUGGCAGAGGGGGGUGGAAUUCCACGUGUAGCAGUGAAAUGCGUAGAUAUGUGGAGGAACACCGAUGGCGAAGGCAGCCCCCUGGGUUAACACUGACGCUCAUGCACGAAAGCGUGGGGAGCAAACAGGAUUAGAUACCCCAGUAGUCCCUGAGCGGGCUGGCAAGGCGCAU